AGGCCUGAAUAGAGAGGUAGGGUCUGAUUCGCAGCCUCUGUGGCAGCUGUUGAUCAGCUGUUGCCUCUCUGUCUCCGGGCU
rfam:Myotis brandtii contig184233, whole genome shotgun sequence.